rnacentral:lncRNA from 1 species
UUUCCUGUCAAUGAUCUAUCUAACCUCUGUCACUAGAAAGCUAUGUGCUGGCAAACUGGCCUCUACAGUUCAAGGUUGGAGAACCCCAGCCAAUGCCCCGAGGGUGGGACAGAACCUAGGCGCCAAGCAGUAUCCUCAGGCUGCAAUUUGCUGGACACACAGAGUCCUGUUCUGCAACCUCCCCCUACGUUGUGCUCAUUGCUUACCUUCUGACUCAGCUCUGAAAAACUAGCUCCACAUUUUUAAUGCUGCCAAGACCUCCCUUCUCUGUGGAUUCAUCUAAGACAACAGAUAUUAACACUAGGAUUGUGAUGGCAGUGGAGUCAGUACCAACUAACCCAAGUAUUCCUAGCCUGUGGAAUCUUUAGACUCACUUAAUUCAUUCAACAUAUACUUAUUAAGUGCCUACUCUGUCAUGAACUUCAGGGAUAUGAAAUCCUGCAAGAUAGUCUCUGCUUUUCAGUACCAGGAGCCCCAGAUAUUAUACGUAAUGUUUCAAAUAGUGGAUUCUGGGUUGCUUGAAAAUCAGUAGGCAGCCUUUUUGUCAUUAAAUUUCCUUUAUUGCUCUGAUGCAUUUUGUUUUAUAGUGACUCUGACUACUUCAGAUUGUUCACAAUAUUUUAAAACUUACGUUAUUAAGAUUGCUCAAUUCUGCUGUUCAAAAACUGUUAGUAAAAUGAUAAGGUUACCUUAUGGCUUUGAAUUUUAGGUGCUUUGGUAUCCAUGAUACAUACGUGUAUAUAUAGUCAUGCACCGUGCCACGACGUUGCAGUCAACUACAGACCAUAUGUAUGAUAGUGCUCUCAUGAGAUUAUAAUGCCAUAUUUUUACGGUCCUUUUUCUAUGUUUAGAUAUAUUUAGAUAUACAAAUAAUUACCAUUGUGUUACAGUU